rnacentral:rRNA from 1 species
CCUACGGGUGGCUGCAGUGGGGAAUUUUGGACAAUGGGGGCAACCCUGAUCCAGCCAUGCCGCGUGCGGGAAGAAGGCCUUCGGGUUGUAAACCGCUUUUAGCCGGGAAGAAAAGGCAGGGGCUAACACUCUCUGUUCUUGACGGUACCGGCGGAAUAAGCACCGGCUAACUACGUGCCAGCAGCCGCGGUAAUACGUAGGGUGCGAGCGUUAAGUGGAAUUAGUGGGGGUAAAGCGUGAGGUCGCGGUUGAAAGCCCCGGGCUCAACCUGGGAAGGGCAUUGGAUACUGGCGGGCUUGAGUGUGGCAGAGGGGGGUGGAAUUCCACGUGUAGCAGUGAAAUGCGUAGAGAUGCGGAGGAACACCGAUGGCGAAGGCAGCCCCCUGGGCUGACACUGACGCUCAGGCACGAAAGCGUGGGGAGCAAACAGGAUUAGAUACCCCAGUAGUC